GUAGGGAUCUUCCGCAUGGACGAAAGUCUGACGGAGCAAUGCCGCGUGAGUGAAGAAGGUUUUCGGAUCGUAAAACUCUGUUGUUAGAGAAGAACAAGGGUGAGAGUAACUGCUCAUCCCCUGACGGUACCUAACCAGAAAGCCACGGCUAACUACGUGCCAGCAGCCGCGGUAAUACGUAGGUGGCAAGCGUUGUCCGGAUUUAUUGGGCGUAAAGCGAGCGCAGGCGGUUCUUUAAGUCUGAUGUGAAAGCCCCCGGCUCAACCGGGGAGGGUCAUUGGAAACUGGAGAACUUGAGUGCAGAAGAGGAAAGUGGAAUUCCAUGUGUAGCGGUGAAAUGCGUAGAUAUAUGGAGGAACACCAGUGGCGAAGGCGACUUUCUGGUCUGUAACUGACGCUGAGGCUCGAAAGCGUGGGGAGCAAACAGGAUUAGAUACCCUGGUAGUCCACGCUGUAAACGAUGAGUGCUAAGUGUUGGGGGGUUUCCGCCCUUCAGUGCUGCAGCUAACGCAUUAAGCACUCCGCCUGGGGAGUACGACCGCAAGGUUGAAACUCAAAGGAAUUGACGGGGGCCCGC
rnacentral:rRNA from 1 species